UUUGGGGGUUCACUUUUGAUGCUUGGGGCAUCUGUACUUUAGAGGAGGGCCGCGAGGAGGAAAUGUUGCUACAGGUGACAGUGACCUUAGGCUCCCUGGCUGACUUUAAGGAGGUAGGAGAUAAUGGGGGUGCUGGUGGUUUUGAGGCUUGGCCUAAGUCAUUCUGAGCACAAAAGCCCAGGAGACAGGCCUCACAGUUGCUGCUGUCAUGUGGCCCUUCGAGACUGGUGUUCCCUAGCAAAGGAAUCUCACCCAUUUGCUUAAAUCCUUCUUUAUAGCACUUCUUCAGAAUUUGGAAGAGCAGGUUGUUCAAGAUCCUUGAGAUGUUGUCCCAAGUGACUUCUGGAGUUGCAAAUGGAGGCUCGGGGCACUGAUUACAUCUCUGAGCAAACACCCUCAUCUUCACCCACCCCUUGGCCUUCUUCUCACACCACCGCAUGUGGAAGACUAUCAGAACUCGGCCAGAUGCCCAACUUCGAGAGCAGGAAGGACAGUGGAACCUGUAG
rnacentral:lncRNA from 1 species